GGUAGUUUAGAUGAAGAUUAGGGAGUUACUUUAGUUUAUUUUAUAUAAUGGCAGAGGUUGGUAAUUUAGAUAUAUAUUUAGAGGGUUACUUUAGGCUAUUUUCAUAAUGGUAUAGGUGGGUAAUUUUUUAGAAAAACAUAAUAGAUUCAAUGGCUAUGAUGAUUUGAGCUGUUAGAUGGUCAGAUAUUUUAUUUUUUUUGAAAUUUCUAAGAUUUCUUUUUUUUUUAGACUGAGGACGUCGGCAAGCUGACCUCAUGAACUAAUCCGAUCAUAGCAGCAAGCUGGUUCAAAUUUAAAAGGAAGGAAAAAGAGCUUUAAAGGACGCUUCAAGUAGAAAGCUUACCUCCGAGAGAUAGGUUAAAGAAUGGUAGCAGUUGAAAAAUUGGC
rnacentral:lncRNA from 1 species